ensembl:lncRNA
CACAACCGGCUAGUACCAAGCUGGUCGGAUUUGAAAGAUUAUCACCGAUUUAUAGAAAUGACAUAGAGUCCUUACAGAUACAUUUGUGCUUUUGUCGCUCUUCUAAUCUGCGUUUUGUGGAGGAGAAGCGGCGAGAUCUGGGAGCACAUUUUGUUUCCUCAGUGAUUAAUAACUACCUCCGCCAGCAGAAGGAAACGGCGAGGAGUUUCCAACAGCAGUCCAAUCAGCUGGCUUCUGCUCACCGCCACAGACAAUGUGAAGAGAAUCUCUGACGGACUGGUUGUCUGCCCUCGCUCUGCUCCAUACACACAGCCAAUAGGCUGCCAUUGCAG